rnacentral:lncRNA from 1 species
ACACAGGAGGGAUGGGUCGGCAGAGUUUGUAAGUUUGGAUGGGUAAUAACUUAACCCAGGGGAUUGUUGGUGGAGGAACGAGGGAGUCCUGUAGCUAGAGAUAGGCAGAAGCAGACAGGAUAUUUGGGUUCUAGGUAAGCAAGGUGCAUCUAAGACCUAAGAAGUCUUCAGAGGCAGCAGAGACGAACAAAUGAACGUGAAGGCAGGGCCACUACUUCUCAGCACAUCCGGCCUUCUGGCUCAUCUCCUCCCUGCAUCUCACUACGCCCCUCCCCACUCCAGGGUAAAUUCCAAUAAUGCUGCUCUGUUCCAGAUGGAGUUCAUGUUGACUGAGCUCUCACGUGUGAAUAUGUGUCUAGUGCAUCCUUAACCUGAGGACUUCACCAGUUCGAAAUUACAGUUUUCACCAUCAACUACCUUAUCCUUUUUGGCCUGGUUUUCUUCCUCAAACAGUGGAAACAUUUUUAAAGUUGCUUUUGUUGCAGAGUUAAACAAAUGGCUGAUAGUGGCUUAGAUAAAAAAUCCACAAAAUGCCCCGACUGUUCAUCUGCUUCUCAGAAAGAUGUACUUUGUGUAUGUUCC